rnacentral:hammerhead_ribozyme from 1 species
AUCUAGUUGAUGAGUCCCAAAUAGGACGAGAUGCCCAUCCUGGAU